AUUGAACGCUGGCGGCAGGCCUAACACAUGCAAGUCGAGCGGAUGAAGGGAGCUUGCUCCUGGAUUCAGCGGCGGACGGGUGAGUAAUGCCUAGGAAUCUGCCUGGUAGUGGGGGAUAACGUCCGGAAACGGGCGCUAAUACCGCAUACGUCCUGAGGGAGAAAGUGGGGGAUCUUCGGACCUCACGCUAUCAGAUGAGCCUAGGUCGGAUUAGCUAGUUGGUGGGGUAAAGGCCUACCAAGGCGACGAUCCGUAACUGGUCUGAGAGGAUGAUCAGUCACACUGGAACUGAGACACGGUCCAGACUCCUACGGGAGUCAGCAGUGGGGAAUAUUGGACAAUGGGCGAAAGCCUGAUCCAGCCAUGCCGCGUGUGUGAAGAAGGUCUUCGGAUUGUAAAGCACUUUAAGUUGGGAGGAAGGGCAGUAAGUUAAUACCUUGCUGUUUUGACGUUACCAACAGAAUAAGCACCGGCCAACUUCGUG
rnacentral:rRNA from 1 species